UUCUUUCAGCAAGGAUUAAGG
rnacentral:miRNA from 1 species